rnacentral:rRNA from 1 species
UACGGAGGAUGCAAGCGUUAUCCGGAAUGAUUGGGCGUAAAGCGUCCGCAGGUGGCGAUGUAAGUCUGCUGUCAAAGCGUCUGGCUCAACCAGAUAAAGGCAGUGGAAACUACAUAGCUAGAGUAAGGUAGGGGUAGAGGGAAUUCCUGGUGUAGCGGUGAAAUGCGUAGAGAUCAGGAAGAACACCGGUGGCGAAAGCGCUCUGCUGGACCUUAACUGACACUCAGGGACGAAAGCUAGGGGAGCGAAUGGG